AAACUUUCAACAACGGAUCUCUUGGCUCUAGCAUCGAUGAAGAACGCAGCGAAAUGCGAUACGUAAUGUGAAUUGCAGAACUCAGUGAAUCAUCGAAUCUUUGAACGCACAUUGCGCCUGGCAGCAUUCUGCCAGGCAUGCCUGUCCGAGCGUCAUUU
rnacentral:rRNA from 3 species